GAUAUGGAUCUUUAAAAAUUCUACCACUUCUAAGCUUAGAAAUUGCUUUGGCAUUCUCAAAUUGGGGAUUCUUAAGUGGGACAUUAGAUUGAUGACUUAGUCUAGGUGGUUGGUGGGUGGAUAGGUCGUUUCUGAGAUUUGGUACUGGUCGCUUGGCAAUUGACCUGGUUCUCUCCUCAUGGUAGACUCAGCUAAGUAUCCUAUUUGUGC
rnacentral:lncRNA from 1 species